GUCCUGAUGUGACCGAGAGUUUGCUAAAUGUUUUGACCGAACACUUUUGCCUUAGGGAGUUUGUUGUUUCUAAGUGGAACAAAUGCCUCGUAAUGUGGACUUGUAAAACUUAGAACAGAACACCCACCUGCCGAGAGCGGGUUCAAAACGGCGAUUCAAACAACGGCACGAUUGGGACG
rnacentral:other from 1 species